UCCUGGUGGCUCAGGGGAUAAAGAGCCUGCCUGCAAUGUGGGAGACCCAGGUUCGAACCCUGGAUUAGGAA
rnacentral:tRNA from 1 species